rnacentral:lncRNA from 1 species
AAGGAAAUAGAUUGGUGGGCUUCUAGUCCAUCUCUGCCACAGCUCUGCAAUGAAUUUAAAUUGAACUUAUUGCAUGCAUUGCUUAAUGUCCUUUGUUGUUAAACUAUUUCCUAAAUGGUACAACCUGAAUAUCUUAGUGUGACAAAUUUACUCAUGAAAGGUCCCUCUAUCAUCAGGUUGGAGGAAGUCUUGACAAGGAAGUUGGCAAGACUGGAACUCUCAGAGAUGACCACAGGAUGGAGAAUGUCGGGGGUAGUACAGCGUGGUGCAAGAAGCUCCAGCUCUGGGGCCAGUUGGACAGGGUUUGAUUCCAACUCUGGCACCUGUCAGUGGAGCAGCCUCAGAACAACAUGGCUGUCCAAGCACCAGACUUCAUGGGAAAGGAGAGGAGAGCUCAGGGAGCUUCCUUUCUGACUAUUCCGUGAAGGAUUUUAUUCUCUGGAAAAAAUAUUCUUCUCUAAACAUCCUCAGGGUGCUGCUCAUCAAUGGAAUACUCAGAUGACCACUGCUGAGCACCUGGAGGUUACAUGCCCUGCCACAAUGACUCAGUAAAACCACCCCUUCCAUCUUGGUCAAAGUGCACUGCAAAGGCAACGUGUGACCUAGACAAGCAUUAAAUAAUAUCAGAAAUGGCCAGAACAAUAGAAAUGACGUCAAUGAAGUCUCUCAUGGAAACCAAAAGUGUCUGUAGUUUAAACACUGAGUUUUGCAAUACAACGCUCUGUGAUGACGACAACAAAGAAGGAGGAAGAGGAGGUGCAUACAAAUUAAUGUGACAGUUAAUACAAGAGCCGCAAUGCAAUUAUUUCUGGAUAUCACUGGAGCAAAGAAGAUAAUCCCCUGGCUUCUGAGAGCUCACAUAUCAGCCAACAGAUUAAAUAUGAGAAUUGUAUUACCUGAAUGAGGAAAGAAGGCAGAGAGCUCAGUCAAGCCUGCUUGGACUUCUGACCUACACAGAAAGGAGAUGAUGAAUGAGUAUUGCUUAAAGUCGCUGAGUUUGGGGCAAUGGACAAUCUCUAACAGAAAUGAGACACUUAAAUUAAGGAGAUGAAGUUCCUGUGGGAGGAUGUCAGUCACUACCAGCUGGCCAAGGAUAGAUUUUAAACAAACUUUGGAAAUUUGGAAAUAAUAUGAGCAAUUUACUUUGGAGAGAAAAUUUGAGACAAUGGACACCGCCAAUUGUCCCAACCAGCCAGGUUUGGAUAAUCACAGAAUACAAGAAUUCACAUAUAUGAUCUGGAGCCCAGUUGCUGAGUUGCUUUCCACAGGUAUUUUGUCAAUAAGAAAACAUUGCAAAUAUGACCAAUGAGUGGAGAAAAGAAUCACUAACACACUUAAGGGAGAGAAUACGUGGAAAUAAACCCUAUAGAAAUCCAGAACAUGAAGGCCUUUAAGUGACUUCAGGGAGGAGGGAUGACCAAGGACCGAUUUUUACUGACCAACUGUCAAUUUGUAAUACUCCUUAAAAAACAGGCAAAACCAAAGCUAUAACACAGAGUAGAAAUGAUUUGAUGAUGUAAUGCUUUUGCAUCUGAGCUUUUAAAGCUCUUAGAAAUCUUUUUAAGAAGAUUGAAGACUUCAAACAAAAGCCAGGCAGCCUCCGGAAUGGCCAAUUCUAAGUGGAAGACUAGAGUCCAGUCAUUCUCCAGGGAAAGGAACCUGAUUCCUCGGUGAGCCAGGCGCUGCUCUGCUUGGUCACUCUCAGAACAGAAGUCCAGGAGCAGCUCCAAGGCUUUCCUCAGGAUCUGGCCAUCAGGCCUCUCCCGAAUGAGUCCACCUCUCCCUCUGGAUCCCCAGAAAGAUGAUUAAAUGAGUCAUAAUUUAAGAAAGAAAAGGCUGGCAACUGGGACCUCAGCUUGAGGUCACGACUGUGUAUAAAGAAUGUGAGGAAAAGAAUCCAUCAUUCCAUUGAUUUCUUACAUCUUUCCCGUGGACUAGCAAUUUAAUGAAAAAUAGCCAAUUGUCCUGAAGGUGUUGCUCUUGGAAGGUGCCUGCAUACCAGGAAAGCCAUGAAUGCCGCAGGGACCUCAAGCAGACAAGACCCUGAAGGCAGGAGGUGCAAGAGAGCUGAGAAUCAUGCAGACUUCAGCGUUACCACGUGCUCCCCAUCCCAGGCGAGAGAAAAAUUAAAAAAAAAAAAAUUUCUUGACCUGGAGCUCCCUCUCUAGCUCUCCCUAGUGUCUUGCCAAUCCUUCCCACACUAAUUUCUUGAAAAGUCUUUCUGCUCUCUGUCCAUUCACUGCUCAGUGCACUUUACCGGAAGCUUACCAAUGACCUCCACAUUGCUAAAGCCAGUGAAGUUUUAAAAUUUCUUAUCUGACUGGACCUUUUUGUCUUACUUGGUAUUAUUCUUUCCUCCUUUUUAUGAUAAUAAUAAUAGAAUAAUAGCUAAUAUUACUGAGUAUUAAGUAUUUGCCACACAUUGUGCUAAACAUACAUUAAAACUCCACUUUUUUUCCUGAAAUGUAAAUUUGGCAUCUUCCUUGGUGAACAAACUAAGUUACAUGCUAUAUGGUGGCAAGUGAGUGAAGAGUCCUCUUGGUGUGCUGCGUACAUAGGGACCACGGAUCCUGCAGACCCUGUUGGAGAAUACAUCACUGAUCCCAAACACCAUUUGCUGGUGGUACCAAGGCUCUGAUCUUAUCGCCCUCUCUGGCUGGGUGGUUUUGGGAAGGGACUAGAGCCCCCAGAGAAAGGCCUCAGAGAAGCAGAGACUAACUCAUCAGCAAUAAUAGAUGCUGGCAUGCUGUAUGAAACACCUACAACCUGAGAUUUAUUUCAGUGACUGCCUGUCUUCCUUUUUCAUUCUGUUUCUCUCCACGAUAACUUUUGCUCUGAACUUUGUGCGACCGCACAGAGAACAGGUCAGCUAAGAACAGACUACCAGUUUAUACAUGACUUCAGUUCUAUUCUAGGAAGCAAAGGCCAUACGGAUAGUCUAGAGUAAGUGAAGAAGGCCCAAAGAAAGCAGAAAUCGAGUAGGUAUGUUGAUGUUGAAGGGCCACUGCUAGAAGGUAGCGAUUGAUGCAGCAUAAAUGCCAAACGACUGUGUUCUUUGGUCUGGCCCAGACACGCAGCCAGAGCCCUAAACCUCGGAGGCCAUGCUGCAACCACACACAGUUACCCACACGCUCCGAGGCCUCUCUGUGCCAUUAAAGGUGGUUUCUUUGUAGUUUUCCUUAGCAUGGAUAAUAACUUGCUAGUGUGUUUGUUAUAUUUUUUCCAAGCUGCCGCAUGUUUUCUCUCUCUUGACCUUUAAUGGCAUUUACUGGAAAUACCUUCAUGUCCAACUGAAGUAAAAUUUCAUCAGAUUUAUUUCUAUUUAAGGACAUUACUUAUUCAGAAUGAUAAUAUAUUCCUUCUCUAUAUUCAUGCAUUAAUGUAACCACAUUAUUUUUCUUCCUCAUUUCUUUUAAUAGCAGGGAAAUAGUGAAUUCAGGGAAAAUUACUCUGCAUAAAAUGCCAUGAGUCUUUUCCCUGGGCCUGGAGAUAUGAAUUUUGCAAGAUUCCCCUCUGAGGAGUCAACAGCCGGAGCUCAGUAAACAGGUGGGUUCAAUUGAGAGAAAUUGAAGAAAAUUUCCAAGACCACUCAGCUGAGAAAAGGUAGAAUCAGGGGCUGGCCCCGUGGCCCAGUGGUUAAGUUCGCGCGCUCAGCUGCAAGCGGCCCAGUGUUUCGUGGUUCGAAUCCUGGGCGCGGACAGGGCACUGCUCAUCAAACCACGCUGAGGCAGCAUCCCACAUGCCACAACUAGAAGGACCCACAACGAAGAACACACAACUAUAUACGGGGUCUUUGGGGAGAAAAAGGAAAAAAAAAAUAAAAUCUUAAAAAAA